AGUGAACGCUGGCGGUAGGCCUAACACAUGCAAGUCGAACGGCAGCACAGUAAGAGCUUGCUCUUACGGGUGGCGAGUGGCGGACGGGUGAGGAAUACAUCGGAAUCUACUUUUUCGUGGGGGAUAACGUAGGGAAACUUACGCUAAUACCGCAUACGACCUACGGGUGAAAGCAGGGGAUCUUCGGACCUUGCGCGAUUGAAUGAGCCGAUGUCGGAUUAGCUAGUUGGCGGGGUAAAGGCCCACCAAGGCGACGAUCCGCAGCUGGUCUGAGAGGAUGAUCAGCCACACUGGAACUGAGACACGGUCCAGACUCCUACGGGAGGCAGCAGUGGGGAAUAUUGGACAAUGGGCGCAAGCCUGAUCCAGCCAUACCGCGUGGGUGAAGAAGGCCUUCGGGUUGUAAAGCCCUUUUGCUGGGAAAGAAAAGCAGCAGGUUAAUACCCCGCUGUUCUGACGGUACCCAAAGAAUAAGCACCGGCUAACUUCGUG
rnacentral:rRNA from 1 species